rnacentral:tRNA from 1 species
GGCCUAAUGGUCUAGUCGUAUGAUUGCCGCUUUGGGAAAUUCGUCUUAAUUGCGGCAGGUCCUGGGUUCAAUUCCCAGUUAGGCCC